GGGGACGUAGCUCAGUUGGGAGAGCGCUUGAAUGGCAUUCAAGAGGUCGAGGGUUCGAUUCCCUUCGUCUCCA
rnacentral:tRNA from 1 species